GACGAACGCUGGCGGCGUGCUUAACACAUGCAAGUCGAACGGAAAGGCCCUGCUUUUGUGGUGUGCUCGAGUGGCGAACGGGUGAGUAACACGUGAGUAACCUGCCCUUUACUUUGGGAUAACUUCAGGAAACUGGGGCUAAUACCGGAUAUGAGCUCCUGCUGCAUGGUGUGGGUUGGAUAGUUUCGGCGGUUGGGGAUGGACUCGCGGCUUAUCAGCUUGUUGGUGGGUUAGUGGCUUACCAAGGCUUUGACGGGUAGCCGGCCUGAGAGGGUGACCGGCCACAUUGGGACUGAGAUACGGCCCAGACUCCUACGGGAGGCAGAAGUGGGGAAUAUUGCACAAUGGGCGGAAGCCUGAUGAAGCAACGCCGCGUGCGGGAUGACGGCCUUCGGGUUGUAAACCGCUUUCGCCUGUGACGAAGCGUGAGUGACGGUAAUGGGUAAAGAAGCACCGGCUAACUACGUG
rnacentral:rRNA from 1 species